rnacentral:rRNA from 1 species
UACGGGGGGGGCAAGCGUUGUUCGGAAUUACUGGGCGUAAAGGGCUCGUAGGUGGCCAACUAAGUCAUACGUGAAAUCCCUCGGCUUAACCGGGGAACUGCGUCUGAUACUGGAUGGCUUGAGUUUGGGAGAGGGAUGCGGAAUUCCAGGUGUAGCGGUGAAAUGCGUAGAUAUCCGGAGGAACACCAGAGGCGAAGGCGGCUUCCUGGACCGACUCUGACACUGAGGAGCGAAAGCGUGGGGAGCGAUCCGG